UAGUCAGGUAGGAUAAUCCUACCUGUUCCACCUUUUGAAAGGCAGAUUAUAACAUGAUUGGAGUUUGCAUGACUUGUGAUUAGCCUUUCUGCUUCAGCAGGACUUGCAAUACUGAUUGCUCCUAUCUGAU